GACGAACGCUGGCGGCGUGCUUAACACAUGCAAGUCGAACGGACAGGCCCUGCUUUUGUGGGGUGCUCGAGUGGCGAACGCGUGAGUAACACGCGAGUAACCUGCCCUUGUCUUUGGGAUAACUCCAGGAAACUCGGGCUCAUACCGGAUAGAAGCUACUGCUGCAUGGUGGGGGUUGGAAAGUUUCGGCGGUUGGGGCUGGGCUGGCGGCUUAUCAGCUUGUUUGUGGAGUAGUUGCUUACCAAGGCUUCGACGGGUAGCCGGCCUGGGAGGGUGACCGGGCUCAUGGCGACUGCGAUACGGCGCAGUAGCCAACGGGCCGCAGCGGGCGGGAGCAUUGCGGAACGGGGGGACGCCUGUUGCGGAAGCGCCGCGUGCGGGAUGCCGGGCUUCGGGGUGUAAACAGAUUUCGAAGGUGACGAAGAGUGAGUGACGGUAAUGAGUAAGGAAGCCCCGGCUAACUACGUG
rnacentral:rRNA from 1 species